UCAGGGCCCAGAAGCGACCGAGAAGUCAUCCUGCUCGUCCUUCGGUCGCCGGUGUCGUCGUGGUUGCCGCCGCCGCCACUCUCUCCUCCUUCACGACCCCCCUCAGAUAAACUGGUAAUUCAAGAACAAUGGUGCAUCUGAUGAAGAGGACCCCUGUCUGCCAACCUUCAUCAACUUGAUGUCCUUCAGGAAUCUCCACAGCCACAGUGUCCUAUGCCAAGCAAUGCACGGCCAAAACAGUACAGGAAGACUUGACGGCAGGUUCAGGAUGUCCAUACUAUGGGGAGGUUUUAAAUCUUACCAUUAACUAAAAUUAGCUGUGCGGGAUGUUUGGGGUACAUGACUAAGGCACCAACAGUACAAAGCAAAUACAAAAGCAGAAAUAUUUCCUUGGGAGUGCUCUACGUUGAAACACCACAAGAAAAGGCAACAAUAGAAAGUAAACCUGCUGCAGCCUUUACAAGUUUCUUCUGGGGUCACAAGGUUAGUCCUAUGGUUGAAUUUCUUCCAAUAUAUCACUUCAGUUCUGAUCACAGCACAUGCUACAACACUGAUGGCUAGGAUGAACUUCACCAAGGUGCACUUUUCAUUAGCGUUUUGUAUUUCAGACAAAUCAUUCAAGCCAAAGCAUAAAUGCAUUUUAGACUCAUGUGAAAA